rnacentral:rRNA from 1 species
AACAAACGCUGGCGGCGUGCCUAAUACAUGCAAGUCGAACGGGGUAGCAAUACCUAGUGGCGCACGGGUGAGGAACGCGUGGAUAAUCUGCCUUAGAGUGGGGGAUAACUAGUCGAAAGAUUAGCUAAUACCGCAUAAGACCACAGGAGCUGCGGCUCUAGGGGUCAAAGGUUUUUCGCUCUAAGAUGAGUCCGCGUAAGAUUAGCUAGUUGGUGAGGUAACGGCUCACCAAGGCGACGAUCUUUAACUGGUCUGAGAGGAUGAUCAGUCACGCUGGAACUGAGACACGGUCCAGACUCCUACGGGAGGCAGCAGUAGGGAAUAUUGCACAAUGGAGGAAACUCUGAUGCAGCGACGCCGCGUGAGUGAUGAAGGCCUUCGGGUCGUAAAGCUCUGUCGCAGGGGAAUAACACAAUGAAUGUACCCUGUAAGAAAGGAUCGGCUAACUUCGUGCCAGCAGCCGCGGUAACAC